rnacentral:rRNA from 1 species
UACGUAGGGCGCAAGCGUUGUCCGGAAUUAUUGGGCGUAAAGAGCUCGUAGGCGGCUUGUCACGUCGAUUGUGAAAGCCCGAGGCUUAACCUCGGGUCUGCAGUCGAUACGGGCUAGCUAGAGUGUGGUAGGGGAGAUCGGAAUUCCUGGUGUAGCGGUGAAAUGCGCAGAUAUCAGGAGGAACACCGGUGGCGAAGGCGGCUCUCUGGGACGGUACUGACGCUGAGACGCGAAAGCGUGGGGAGCGAACAGG